rnacentral:rRNA from 1 species
GACGAACGCUGGCGGCGUGCCUAACACAUGCAAGUCGUGCGAGAAAGUUCCUUCGGGAGCGAGUAAAGCGGCGCACGGGUGAGUAACACGUAGGUAACCUGCCCCCCAGUCUGGAACAACUAGAGGAAACUCUAGCUAAUGCCGGAUGAGACCACGAUCCCUUCGGGGGUUGCGGCCAAAGAUGGCCUCUACUUGUAAGCUAUCGCUGAGGGAUGGGCCUGCGGGCCAUUAGCUUGUUGGUGAGGUAACGGCUCACCAAGGCUGUGAUGGCUAGCUGGUCUGAGAGGAUGACCAGCCACACUGGGACUGAGACACGGCCCAGACUCCUACGGGAGGCAGCAGUGGGGAAUAUUGCGCAAUGGGCGAAAGCCUGACGCAGCGACGCCGCGUGGGUGAUGAAGGCCUU